rnacentral:rRNA from 1 species
UACGAAGGGGGCUAGCGUUGCUCGGAAUCACUGGGCGUAAAGGGCGCGUAGGCGGCCGAUCAAGUCAGAGGUGAAAGCCCAGGGCUUAACCCUGGAAUUGCCUUUGAUACUGUUCGGCUAGAGACCGGAAGAGGUUAGUGGAACUGCGAGUGUAGAGGUGAAAUUCGUAGAUAUUCGCAAGAACACCAGUGGCGAAGGCGGCUAACUGGUCCGGUUCUGACGCUGAGGCGCGAAAGCGUGGGGAGCAAACAGG